rnacentral:rRNA from 1 species
GAUGAACGCUGGCGGCGUGCUUAACACAUGCAAGUCGAACGGGAAUUAUUUUAUUGAAACUUCGGUCGAUUUAAUUUAAUUCUAGUGGCGGACGGGUGAGUAACGCGUGGGUAACCUGCCUUAUACAGGGGGAUAACAGUCAGAAAUGGCUGCUAAUACCGCAUAAGCGCACAGAGCUGCAUGGCUCAGUGUGAAAAACUCCGGUGGUAUAAGAUGGACCCGCGUUGGAUUAGCUGGUUGGUGGGGUAACGGCCCACCAAGGCGACGAUCCAUAGCCGGGCUGAGAGGGUGAACGGCCACAUUGGGACUGAGACACGGCCCAGACUCCUACGGGAGGCAGCAGUGGGGAAUAUUGCACAAUGGGGGAAACCCUGAUGCAGCGACGCCGCGUGAAGGAAGAAGUAUCUCGGUAUGUAAACUUCUAUCAGCAGGGAAGAUAGUGACGGUACCUGACGAAGAAGCCCCGGCUAACUACGUG